UACGUAGGUCGCAAGCGUUGUCCGGAUUUACUGGGCGUAAAGAGCGCGCAGGCGGCUGGUCAAGUCCGAUGUGAAAUCUCCCGGCUCAACUGGGGAACUGCGUCUGAUACUGGAUGGCUUGGAUUCGGGAGAGGAAUGCGGAAUUCCAGGUGUAGCGGUGAAAUGCGUAGAUAUCUGGAGGAACACCGGUGGCGAAGGCGGCAUUCUGGACCGACAUUGACGCUGAGGAGCGAAAGCCAGGGGAGCAAACGGG
rnacentral:rRNA from 1 species